rnacentral:rRNA from 1 species
GUCGAGCGACAGAUGAGAAGCUUGCUUCUCUGAUGUUAGCGGCGGACGGGUGAGUAACACGUGGGUAACCUACCUAUAAGACUGGGAUAACUCCGGGAAACCGGGGCUAAUACCGGAUAAUAUUUUGAACCGCAUGGUUCGAUAGUGAAAGACGGUUUCGGCUGUCACUUAUAGAUGGACCCGCGCCGUAUUAGCUAGUUGGUAAGGUAACGGCUUACCAAGGCGACGAUACGUAGCCGACCUGAGAGGGUGAUCGGCCACACUGGAACUGAGACACGGUCCAGACUCCUACGGGAGGCAGCAGUAGGGAAUCUUCCGCAAUGGGCGAAAGCCUGACGGAGCAACGCCGCGUGAGUGAUGAAGGUCUUCGGAUCGUAAAACUCUGUUGUUAGGGAAGAACAAAUUUGUUAGUAACUGAACAAGUCUUGACGGUACCUAACCAGAAAGCCACGGCUAACUACGUGCCAGCAGCCGCGGUAAUACGUAGGUGGCAAGCGUUAUCCGGAAUUAUUGGGCGUAAAGCGCGCGUAGGCGGUUUCUUAAGUCUGAUGUGAAAGCCCACGGCUCAACCGUGGAGGGUCAUUGGAAACUGGGAAACUUGAGUGCAGAAGAGGAGAGUGGAAUUCCAUGUGUAGCGGUGAAAUGCGCAGAGAUAUGGAGGAACACCAGUGGCGAAGGCGGCUCUCUGGUCUGUAACUGACGCUGAUGUGCGAAAGCGUGGGGAUCAAACAGGAUUAGAUACCCUGGUAGUCCACGCCGUAAACGAUGAGUGCUAAGUGUUAGGGGGUUUCCGCCCCUUAGUGCUGCAGCUAACGCAUUAAGCACUCCGCCGUGGGGAGUACGACCGCAAGGUUGAAACUCAAAGGAAUUGACG